GAUAAGAUUAGCUAUCACUCAACAGCUGAGUCUGGCUUUGAACUCGCGUUCCUGGCUCCCAGGUGGAAAUCCUCAGAGCCUCAGUGACCGCAGCACCCUCUCCCCUGCUUUCCUUUCCUUUCCAGUCUAAAGCUCCCCUUUCCCUCACGGACAGGGGCCAGUGAGAACUCCUUGAACAUUGCAUCAUUUCUUGAUGGAGAUCCCAGAAGCAGAUGCUGAGACUCAGGGGGCUUGGAUGUUGGCGAUUUUAUGAAACACACCCUAAUGAUUCUUAGGACUGGACUUCAACUGUGCUGCAUCGAACCCCACACCCCCCACCCCAUAAGGGGAAGCUAGGUGUGUCAAUCCCCUUCCUUACAAGCACAAAUGCAAACUAGGCAUGUGCUUAACUGAAGAACUCUCAAAGGCAAUUGCUACGGGGACUCCCUGACAUUUGUGUUCCUGAGGAGAGACCAAACAAGUUUACACCUCGCACUGAGAGACAACACCCUGGUCCUGGUCCUUUGCUGCUCUUCUGAGAUGAUGCUCUACAGUGUCUCCUUUGUUUCCACUGGGGCAUUUGAUGACUCAUGGCAGGAUCGUUUCAAGUAUGCUGCAAAAAUUAAUGAGAGUCCAAGUUUCCGGUUCUCAAGAACACACCGGAUAAAACCUCAGUAGCGGGUGGGCACUCCCGGUCCUGUGUAUGUGGUGACUUGGAGGGUCUGUCUCCUUGGGAACUUCACAGGGGCUCAGAAGUUCAUGUACACAUGAAAGGGAAACACUACAGUAUGAAUGUGAACUGUCCCGGCAGGUUUCUGUUCCGAGCCUUUGGUUCCCAGCUGGUGGCUUUGUUUUGGAAUGUUCUGGAAACUUUAAAGGGCGGACCCUUUCUGGAAGAAGUAGGCCACACUGGGAAGUCUUCUCCCGGUGGCUGUGGAUGAUGGCUCUGCUACAGUGACAGAGACGAAGGCCCUAUCAGUAAACCCCCCCAACCUCGAUUUCCUACUACUCCGCAGGGCUAGCAGAGGCAGCCAUAAUCUCAGGUGAAGGUCCAACAACCCAACCAACCCAUCCCUAGUCUAUGAGGAAGCAUCAAUCGUCAACAGAGCUGACCUUGGGGUUCUCACACAAAUCGUCACAGUUCUGAUAAGGAUGAUGGCCGAUGUCAAGGACAGCAUUCUACAGCAUGAUCGGUGUCAUGCCUUGUAUGCCUGGCCACGGGGACUGAUGUGCCCUUGGCUAGCACUGCAUUGCAUGGUCCUGGACCAGCAGGCGACCCCGGCUACCUUAUUAGGGAAUUAGCUGUUGGGCUCCUUCUUCCACAGCAACUGGAGUAAGAGGCCUAAAGCUCACCCCCAUCGUAAGGUCCCACGGAAUAAACUGUUUUCCCAACUCUCUGGCCAACACAAUCUGUCUAUCUGGUGACUAGGUCUCAUGCACUGCUUCUGUCAUAGACGCCUGGUCCCCUCCAGAUCCCUGUCACUUAGUCUUCACUUACCUGUCUCAGGACUCACAGCGGAUCAUCAGACAGACGCCAUCGCUACCCCCAAACUCAGCCCUGGCUUUGCUGUAUCCUGCCGCCUACUCCAAGCGCUGCGAUGAUUCAUCCCCAGGGAGACACCACCCCUUCCUCAUAAGUUCCCAAGGACAAACCAAAGUAUGAUUUCACCAAAGCUCAGUCUUGGGAAGCGAUGAAUUUUUUGCACUUACAGGGCACAGCUAAGGGGUUGCCUAUGGGAGCACGGGUGACACGGGAAGAAUCGGCACAGCAAAGUGUCACCCAGCAGGAAUCGCAGCUGCCCCACAUCCUUCCCAAUUAGCCUCCAUACCUGUAGAUUAUAGUUCCUCCUCAGGCUCCAGCAUGGCCACCUGCAAUUGAGGAGAGAUUGUGUGGGUGGGGAAAGCAUCUGUAAUGACCUUCCCCACACCCUCCUAACACAAAAACGUCCAUAGUCCACAGGCCCCAUCACGAUGGGCUCUUGCAAGCAGGUACAGUUGAUCUGGUGAAGAUGGCUGCGGUUUGCUCAAAGGACCCUGUCCUACAUGGUUUCUUUGCAGAGGAUCUGGAAUUGAAGCCAUAUCACCACCCAAGCAUUUUGCAGUCUGUUUAAAAAUGUACAUAGGAUUGAGAGUGAAAAAGAAACGGCAUAGUGGUAAAUAAAUAAAGAAGCCGGCUGUGGUGGCGCACGCUGAUAGGAU